rfam:Geobacteraceae bacterium GWC2_53_11 gwc2_scaffold_301, whole genome shotgun sequence.
GCACGAUACUACUAAACCGCCCGUGAGGGUGGGACGGAAAGCCCACAGGGUCUCAGCGAGACAGCCGGGUUGCCGAA